UACGUAGGGUGCGAGCGUUAAUCGGAAUUACUGGGCGUAAAGAGUGCGUAGGCGGUUCGUUAUGUCUGCUGUGAAAGCCCCGGGCUUAACCCGGGAAUGGCAGUGGAAACUGGCGGGCUUGAGUGUGGCAGAGGGGGGUGGGAAUUCCGCGUGUAGCAGUGAAAUGCGUAGAGAUCGGGAGGAACACCUGUGGCGAAGGCGGCCCCCUGGGCCGGCCCUGACACUGAGACGCGAAGGCGAGUGGGGAGCGAACGGGG
rnacentral:rRNA from 1 species